GUAGGACAGCGUACAAGGUGUCUUGGGACGGUGACGCGAACACUCGAGGAGGCUAUUACGACGCCGAGAUGCUCAAACUGACGGGACUACCUGCGGCUCGGCUGUUGAUGCGGGAGGUGCUGUAGGGCCCUACUGCCUAACACUUGCUGACGAGGACAUCCUUGCAAAGAAUG